AAAUUAUCCCGACUGCAGCGCAAAUUCAAUUCAAAUUUUCAUCCCUGCAUCAAAAUAUGUUUUCACAGCUUCACAAAUUGUCACUUAUAUGAAUUUAACUGUUAUUUUUCCAUUCUCAGUAUGUUGGAGAGGCUUCUCCAGGUAGCAGAGGUGGCCUUCAGCAAUGAGACAGACAGCUACACAAUCCAACAUCCAAAGCCAAUUUAGAAUGACCAAUUAAUGUAACAUGCAGUUUUUUGACCUCCAGGAGGAAGUUAUACAAAGAUAUAGCUGUACAGUAAUCUAGAUGUUGGUGUAGAGUAAACUUUGUUUUUUAAAUUCACAAAUACAGAUGGUUAAAAAAAUAAACAAAACUAUAAUCCUGUACAAAAAAAUGAAACCCAUUAUCCUUUGAGCUGAGAAUAUCCAAUCUAAAAGUGACAACGCUUUGAGACAAUACAGCGAACCUAAGCAGGCUAUGGAGUGACUACUGACUACUUAAGCUGUUGUUAUGGUUGGCAUGUUGGUCACUGCUCAGUCUAAAUGUGACAUCAGUCCCAUAACUAUUCAUAAGGGUGCUUGUGGUACACUGGACGUGGUGAAGUCUUCUCGUAAACAACAUGUUUUGCAACUCAGCGGAAAAAAAAUUAUACUAGAACAAGUCCAAAGAGGAAACAAAAUAAUUAUGGUGGUUUGAAAGUUUUCUCCACAAAAUCUCAUCUUUUUUUGCUCCAGCUGUUACAGCUUUUCGCCUUUGUACCCCGGUUAUCUCAAUGUGCCUGUACUGACCCAUCACUGAAACAGCAAUAGACAUUAAGCUUUUCAAACACUCAUUUUUCCAGCCUGACUAAGUCAGGAGUCAUGCAGCAUUUGUGAGAGCAACAAUGGUGAGCAUAAAUGGCCAGUUAAGUCUGUUAUGACUGAUGGCAAAUUAGGGCUGUUACAACAACUAUGUGUAUACUGGACUAAAUGCUUCCCUUAAUAUGCUCGUUAAGUAGGAAUGCACUUCUCUGCAGCUCGUCUCGUGUUGGCAGGGAAGCUUUCUGGGAAUAAACUAUGUUUGAUGGGGGCGAGUCAUCAAAAUUUUGCCGAUCUUAUUCCACAUCCAUUGAACCAUUUGUGGUAAACAUGCGGCCUAUGUGCCAGAACCAGCCCAGCAAAGGGCUCUACUUUGUCCCCCGGAUGGUGCUGCAAAGUGCAAAAUUUGCAGUGAAGUCUUUUUAUGGCAUCUUAAGUAAACAUGCUGUAUGCUCAUGUGUUCACUAAAAAAAGGAUCCCAGAUAUUUGGUAUUCUGUUCAACACUCACCAUCAUAUCCUGGAAGUUUUUGGUGACGACGAAUGCUAUGCUCCAGUUGGUGAGGACGCAGACAGCGCUGGCAACCCCCCUCAC